rnacentral:rRNA from 1 species
GAUGAACGCUGGCGGCGUGCUUAACACAUGCAAGUCGAACGGGAAACAUUUUAUUGAAGCUUCGGCAGAUUUAGCUUGUUUCUAGUGGCGGACGGGUGAGUAACGCGUGGGUAACCUGCCUUAUACUGGGGGAUAACAGCCAGAAAUGACUGCUAAUACCGCAUAAGCGCACAGAACCGCAUGGUUCGGUGUGAAAAACUUAGGUGGUAUAAGAUGGACCCGCGUUGGAUUAGCUAGUUGGCAGGGCAGCGGCCUACCAAGGCGACGAUCCAUAGCCGGCCUGAGAGGGUGAACGGCCACAUUGGGACUGAGACACGGCCCAGACUCCUACGGGAGGCAGCAGUGGGGAAUAUUGCACAAUGGGGGAAACCCUGAUGCAGCGACGCCGCGUGAAGGAAGAAGUAUCUCGGUAUGUAAACUUCUAUCAGCAGGGAAGAUAAUGACGGUACCUGACUAAGAAGCCCCGGC